GACGAACGCUGGCGGCGUGCUUAACACAUGCAAGUCGAACGAUGAAAGCCGGAGCUUGCUCUGGCUGGAUUAGUGGCGAACGGGUGAGUAACACGUUAGCAAUCUGCCCUUGACUCUGGGAUAACUCCGAGAAAUCGGUGCUAAUACCGGAUAUGACUCCUGGCGGCAUCGCUGGGGGUGGAAAGUUUUUCGGUCAAGGAUGAGCUCGCGGCCUAUCAGCUAGUUGGUGAGGUAAGGGCUCACCAAGGCGACGACGGGUAGCCGGCCUGAGAGGGUGACCGGCCACACUGGGACUGAGACACGGCCCAGACUCCUACGGGAGGCAGCAGUGGGGAAUAUUGCACAAUGGGCGCAAGCCUGAUGCAGCAACGCCGCGUGGGGGAUGACGGCCUUCGGGUUGUAAACCUCUUUUAGCAGGGAAGAAGCGAAAGUGACGGUACCUGCAGAAAAAGCACCGGCUAACUACGUGCCAGCCGCCGCGGUAA
rnacentral:rRNA from 1 species